rnacentral:tRNA from 1 species
GCUGGGAAAGCUCAGUGGUAGAGCAUGUGCUUAGCAUACACAAGGCCAUGGGUCCAAUUCCUAGCA